UCACAAAAGCCCAAAUUCUUGAAGGCGAUGCCCAAUAAGCAAAUUCCCAGCCCAAUCAAGAAAUCCACCCAUACUUAGUUGAAAAUCAGGCCAAAUUGUCAAAGUGGCCCAAGUUGUAAAGUUUUAUUUUUAUUUAUUUAUUUUAUUUAGUUUAAAUUUUUAUAUUCAGUCCAAGAGUCCCAAAUAAAAGACCCUUGGCCGAAUUUCCAUAUUAAAAUAAUUAGGAGUUUUUUUUAGUUUUAGUUUUAGUGUUCUAAUUAAAUUAGGAAAACAUUUGAAAGGCCUAUUUAUAUGGCUUGGCCAGCCACCCUACAUGACAUUACAAUUACAUUGAAAAUUUCAGAUUUAAUUUGAG
rnacentral:lncRNA from 1 species